rnacentral:rRNA from 1 species
GAUGAACGCUAGCGGCAGGCUUAAUACAUGCAAGUCGAGGGGCAGCAGGACUGUAGCCCUACAGUUGCUGGCGACCGGCAAACGGGUGCGGAACACGUACGCAACCUACCCAAAACUGGGGGAUAGCCCGGGGAAACCCGGAUUAAUACCUCGUAACCUUUUUAAGUGGCAUCACUUGAUAAGUAUAGCUCCGGCGGUUUUGGAUGGGCGUGCGCCUGAUUAGGUAGUUGGUGCGGGUAACGGCCCACCAAGCCUGCGAUCAGUAACUGGUGUGAGAGCACGACCAGUCACACGGGCACUGAGACACGGGCCCGACUCCUACGGGAGGCAGCAGUAAGGAAUAUUGGCCAAUGGACGCAAGUCUGAACCAGCCAUGCCGCGUGAAGGAUGAAGGUCCUCUGGAUUGUAAACUUCUUUUAUGGGGGACGAAACCCGGAUAUUCUUAUCCGAUUGACGGUACCUCAGGAAUAAGCACCGGCUAACUCCGUG